rnacentral:siRNA from 1 species
AAAGAAUUGAUUUGGCCACCUAUG